rnacentral:rRNA from 1 species
AGAGUUUGAUCCUGGCUCAGAUUGAACGCUGGCGGAAUGCUUUACACAUGCAAGUCGAACGGUAGAGGGGGCAACCCCUUGAGAGUGGCGAACGGGUGAGUAAUGUAUCGGAACGUGCCCAGUCGUGGGGGAUAACGUAGUGAAAAUUACGCUAAUACCGCAUACGAUCUAUGGAUGAAAGCGGGGGAUCGCAAGACCUCGCGCGAUUGGAGCGGCCGAUAUCAGAUUAGGUAGUUGGUAGGGUAAAGGCCUACCAAGCCAACGAUCUGUAGCUGGUCUGAGAGGACGACCAGCCACACUGGAACUGAGACACGGUCCAGACUCCUACGGGAGGCAGCAGUGGGGAAUUUUGGACAAUGGGCGAAAGCCUGAUCCAGCCAUUCCGCGUGCAGGAUGAAGGCCCUCGGGUUGUAAACUGCUUUUGUACAGAACGAAAAGGUUUCUAUUAAUACUAGGAGCUCAUGACGGUACUGUAAGAAUAAGCACCGGCUAACUACGUGCCAGCAGCCGCGGUAAUACGUAGGGUGCAAGCGUUAAUCGGAAUUACUGGGCGUAAAGCGUGCGCAGGCGGUUAUAUAAGUCAGAUGUGAAAUCCCCGGGCUCAACCUGGGAACUGCAUUUGAGACUGUAUAGCUAGAGUACGGUAGAGGGGGAUGGAAUUCCGCGUGUAGCAGUGAAAUGCGUAGAUAUGCGGAGGAACACCGAUGGCGAAGGCAAUCCCCUGGACCUGUACUGACGCUCAUGCACGAAAGCGUGGGGAGCAAACAGGAUUAGAUACCCUGGUAGUCCACGCCCUAAACGAUGUCAACUGGUUGUUGGGUCUUAACUGACUCAGUAACGAAGCUAACGCGUGAAGUUGACCGCCUGGGGAGUAC